rnacentral:rRNA from 1 species
CUUGGACAGAACUGUGGGGACGCAGAAGGAGAGCACGAGCCGGAAAUGGAAAAGCCGGUACAAGCGUAUAGCAGUCAUGCAGGCAAAACCGCAUGAAAAAUGUAAAGCGUUAUGUGGAUCGAAGAUUAGUAGAGAAGCGUGUGAGCCAGCUGCCAAGAAAAGCCGCUAUUGUUUCAUAAGUACCCGUACCGUAAACCGACACAGGUGGAUGAGGAGAGAAUCCUAAGGCCGGCGGGAGAAGUGUUGUUAAGGAACCCGGCAAAAUGACUCCGUAACUUCGGGAGAAGGAGUGCCACAGAGAUGUGGCCGCAGAGAAAUGGCCCAAGCAACUGUUUAGCAAAAACACAGGUCUAUGCAAAACCGAAAGGUGAGGUAUAUGGGCUGACGCCUGCCCGGUGCUGGAAGGUUAAGAGGAGAGGUUAGAGCAAUCGAAGCUUUGAAUUUAAGCCCCAGUAAACGGCGGCCGUAACAAUAACGGUCCUAAGGUAGCGAAAUUCCUUGUCGGGUAAGUUCCGACCCGCACGAAAGGCGUAAUGAUUUGGGCACUGUCUCAACAACACACCCGGUGAAAUUGAAAUACCAGUGAAGGUGCUGGUUACCUGCGCCAGGACGGAAAGACCCCAUGGAGCUUUACUCCAGUUUGAUACUGGGAUUCGGUACUGUCUGUACAGGAUAGGUAGGAGGCUAGGAAAUGGUGACGCCGGUUGCCAUGGAGCCAACCUUGGGAUACCACCCUUACAGUACUGGGUUUCUAACCUGCAGCCGUAACCCGGCUGGGGGACAAUGUCUGACGGGGAGUUUGACUGGGGCGGUCGCCUCCGAAAGAGUAUCGGAGGCGCUCAAAGGUUCCCUCAGAACGGUUGGAAACCGUUCGAAGAGUGCAAAGGCAGAAGGGAGCUUGACUGCGACACCGACGGGUGGAGCAGAUACGAAAGUAGGACUUAGUGAUCCGGUGGUAUAAAGUGGGAUUGCCAUCGCUCAACGGAUAAAAGCUACCCUGGGAUAACAGGCUUAUCACUCCCAAGAGUUCACAUCGACGGAGUGGUUUGGCACCUCGAUGUCGGCUCAUCGCAUCCUGGAGCUGUAGCAGGUUCCAAGGGUUGGGCUGUUCGCCCAUUAAAGCGGUACGCGAGCUGGGUUCAGAACGUCGUGAGACAGUUCGGUCCCUAUCCGGCGUGGGCGUAGGAUAUUUGAGAGGAGCUGUCCUUAGUACGAGAGGACCGGGAUGGACAAACCUCUGGUGUAUCUGUUGUUUUACCAAAGGCAUGGCAGAGUAGCCAAGUUUGGCAGGGAUAAACGCUGAAGGCAUCUAAGCGUGAAGCCCCCCUCAAGAUAAGAUAUCCCAUCUUCGGAGUAAGACCCCUUGAAGACUACAAGGUUGAUAGGCUUCAGGUGUAAGUGUGGUAACGCACUCAGCUGAGAAGUACUAAUAGGUCGAGGACUUAUC